rnacentral:piRNA from 1 species
CUAGGUGAAAUUGAGUUACAGUGACAGC